rnacentral:rRNA from 1 species
GACGAACGCUGGCGGCGUGCUUAACACAUGCAAGUCGAACGGAAAGGCCCUGCUUUUGUGGGGUUCUCGAGUGGCGAACGCGUGAGUAACACGUGAGUAACCUGCCCUUGACUUUGGGAUAACUUCAGGAAACUGGGGCUAAUACCGGAUAGGAGCUCCUGCUGCAUGGUGGGGGUUGGAAAGUUUCGGCGGUUGGGGAUGGACGCGCGGCUAAUCAGCUUGUUGGUCGGGUAGGGGCUUACCAAGGCUUUGACGGGUAGCCGGCCUGAGAGGGUGACCGGCCACAUUGGGACUAAGAGACGGCGCAGACGGCUACGGGAGGCAGUAGUGGGGAGUAUGGCACAAUCGGCGGAAGCCUGAUGCAGCAACGCCGCGUGCGGGAUGACGGCCUGCGGGUUGAAAACCGCUUUAGCCUGUGACGAAGCGUGAGUGACGGUAAUGGGUAAAGAAGCACCGGCUAACUACGUG